rnacentral:misc_RNA from 1 species
GUGAAUCAUCAAAUCUUUGAACGCAAAUUGCACUCUCCGGUAUUCCGGGAGAGUAGGCCUGUUGGAGGGUCAGCCUAAAAAAAAUCGACAUUGUGGCUGUGCUAUGGUGACGUGCGUCGGAGAUGGGUUAUCUUAACUCUGGGUUUAAGCGACUUAAAAAUGUUGUUUACGAUUCUAAGAAUGUUUCUAAGAUUUUUCUUGUACGAUUAAGGUAUCGAAUGUCUUAUUAGACGUGGCAGUCAUAUCGGAUCGGGUCACUAAU